rnacentral:rRNA from 1 species
UACGAAGGGGGCUAGCGUUGCUCGGAAUCACUGGGCGUAAAGCGCACGUAGGCGGCUUUUUAAGUCAGGGGUGAAAUCCUGGAGCUCAACUCCAGAACUGCCUUUGAUACUGGGAAGCUUGAGUCCGGAAGAGGUGAGUGGAACUCCGAGUGUAGAGGUGAAAUUCGUAGAUAUUCGGAAGAACACCAGUGGCGAAGGCGGCUCACUGGUCCGGUACUGACGCUGAGGUGCGAAAGCGUGGGGAGCAAACAGGG